rnacentral:rRNA from 1 species
AACGAACGCUGGCGGCAGGCUUAACACAUGCAAGUCGAACGCCCCGCAAGGGGAGUGGCAGACGGGUGAGUAACGCGUGGGAAUCUACCCUGAUCUGCGGGAUAGCUCCGGGAAACUGGAAUUAAUACCGCAUAUGUCCUGAGGGACAAAGAUUGAUCGGUUCAGGAUGAGCCCGCGUCCGAUUAGCUAGUUGGUGGGGUAAAGGCCUACCAAGGCGACGAUCGGUAGCUGGUCUAAGAGGAUGAUCAGCCACAUUGGGACUGAGACACGGCCCAAACUCCUACGGGAGGCAGCAGUGGGGAAUAUUGGACAAUGGGCGCAAGCCUGAUCCAGCCAUGCCGCGUGAGUGAUGAAGGUCUUAGGAUUGUAAAGCUCUUUCACCGGGGACGAUAAUGACGGUACCCGGAGAAGAAGCCCCGGCUAACUUCGUGCCAGCCGCCGCAGUAA